GUGUGUGUGUGUGUGUGUGUAUUUAGCAGUCUGUGUGUGUAUUCAGCAGACUGUGUACUCAGCUGUCUGUGUGUGUGUAUUCAACAGUCUGCUAAAUACAGACAGACUGCUAAGUACACAGACAGACUG
rnacentral:miRNA from 1 species